GGGCAAGAGACUACGACAUUUCUUGUGGAAUCAUAAAUCACAUCGUGAGUGUGGUCUAGGACUAAUGAACAAUUCACCUGUGGUCCUCCAUCCUGGCACCUAAGAGGUUUUGUGAUCCUGUAUAUCCCGGUAUGUGUAAGGCCAUGGACAAAACCAGUACUGGUUCCCUUGAAGAACUCUGUGGGUAAAAGCACUGGAUACUUCCACAUGCAAGGCCAUUAUUUGCAGUCUUCUGGGCCAGCUUUGAAUCAGAUCUGCCAUUCUUGGCAAACUGAAAUGUUAAAAUCCCUUUGAUAUUCAACCAUGUUUUUGCCAGGCUGCAUGAAAUAAUUUACACUGGAUGCCCUGAUAACAACUGUCUGCUGAGUACUGGGAUGUCCUCAUAAAACAGGAAGAGUGCCAUAGCUGGAGAAAUUUCAGGUAAUCACAGUUUCUAGAUGGGAAGAUAUAAAAUUGAAUAUUGUACAGUGUUGUAAUUUAUCUGACAAAAAAAAAUCCACCACCUCUUUAAAUAUAUAAGAUGAAAAAAGCUUUGAGAUGCAAUAACUAAAAUACAGC
rnacentral:lncRNA from 1 species